CCUACGGGCGGCAGCAGUGGGGAAUAUUGCACAAUGGGGGAAACCCUGAUGCAGCGACGCCGCGUGAGUGAAGAAGUCUUUCGGUAUGUUAAGCUCUUUCAGUAUGGAAGAAAAUGACGCUACCUGACUAAGAAUCCCUGGCUAACUACGUGCCAGCAGCCGCGGUAAUACGUAGGGUGCAAGCGUUAUCCGGAUUUACUGGGUGUAACGGGAGCGUAGACGGUUAUGUAAGUCGGAAGUGAAAGCCCUAGGCUCAACCAUGAGACUGCAUUGGAAACUGUAAAACUGGAGUGCAGGAGAGGUAAGCGGAAUUCAUGGUGUAGCGGUGAAAUGCGUAGAUAUUAGGAGGAACACCAGUGGCGAAGGCAGCUUACUGGACUGUAACUGACGUUGAGGCUCGAAGGCGUGGGGAGCAAACAGGAUUAGAUACCCUAGUAGUC
rnacentral:rRNA from 1 species